rnacentral:rRNA from 1 species
AAGUCGAGCGGCAAGGUGGAGCAAUCCACCCUAGAGCGGCGGACUGGUGAGUAACGCGUGGGUGACCUACCCUGGGGAUGGGGAUAGCCAUUAGAAAUAGUGGGUAAUACCGAAUGUGACUAUGUUGCUCUGGCGAGAUAGAGAAAGGAGCUACGGCUCCGCCCUGGGAUGGGCCCGCGUCCCAUUAGCUAGUUGGAGUGGUAAAAGCAUACCAAGGCGAUGAUGGGUAGCCGGCCUGAGAGGGUGAACGGCCACACUGGGACUGAGAUACGGCCCAGACUCCUACGGGAGGCAGCAGCUAAGAAUAUUCCGCAAUGGGCGAAAGCCUGACGGAGCGACGCCGCGUGGAUGAGGAAGGCCGAAAGGUUGUAAAAUCCUUUUGUUGCUGAAGAAUAAGCGGGGGAGGGAAUGCCCCCGUGAUGACGCUAAGCGACGAAUAAGCCCCGGCUAAUUACGUGCCAGCAGCCGCGGUAACACGUAAGGGGCGAGCGUUGUUCGGAAUUAUUGGGCGUAAAGGGCGCGUAGGCGGUUAUGUAAGCCUGGCGUGAAAUGUACCGGCUUAACCGGUAAACGGCGCUGGGAACUGUGUAACUAGAGUCAUGGAGGGGGAGUUGGAAUUCCUGGUGUAGGGGUGAAAUCUGUAGAUAUCAGGAAGAACACCGGUGGCGAAGGCGAACUUCUAGCCAAUGACUGACGCUGAGGCGCGAAA